UAGACCAACAGUGGAAGGGGGGCCCUAAGGAAGAGGUGAUACACACUGAACAGAGGCAAGGGCAGUGGGGAUGAGAAGGCAGAUUUGGGAAACCCCGAAUGGCGUGGUGACCAACAGAUGUGUGCAGUGAGGGGGAGGGAAAAGUCAGGGUGGAGAGAACCAGGUGGAGAAAAACACCACGAAUUGGGAUAAUCAUAAGGGUGCAGGCCCAGAUGAUUCAUGGUAAACUUUCCAGGAUAUUCUCUUAAUUCUGUGUUGUCCAACUAAGGAGUACAGGGGAUCUGCAAAGUUGUAAAAUCAAGGUGGUAAAGAUUCUUGGAGCUUCUAAUAUAUUCAAAAGUUUGAGG
rnacentral:lncRNA from 1 species